UCCAAACAAAGUUUAGUGAAGGAUGCCUCCCUACUGAAGGGGUGGAAGGAUACUAAUGGAGCCACUUGUCUCCAGACAAGGAAGAGGCAAAAACAACCGAAAAGAAAAUUGGAUGCUCACCUGGAAAUGAACUGACUCAAGAUCAGACCAAAAAAAUCCACAUAGGAGGCAUAAGAUGUCUUGUGUUUCAAACAAAAGGGUUUGGAGAAAGCUAUUCAGCAAGCGAUCAACUUGUUGAUCCUGGAGACUCCCAGUCGAUUGCAAUCUCCGGUGGUGCAGCAGCACUGCUGCUGAGGCAGGCUCCCUGCCUGCCCAGGCCCCACACUGCUCCUGUGAAAAUGUGCCCUUGAGAACACACUCCUCCACACCAGCUGAGUACCUACAUCAGAUAAGGUGGCGACCCAGGAGGAGGAAGGAGAGUCUGUUGUGUGAGGUGCUGCAGCCAACAGAUGCAGCACAGAGCAAAACAAGAGCAUGGAGGAAGACAAUAAAUGAAAGACUACAGCUGGAUAGCCCCGAAAGGACACAGGCAGGAGUGGAUGAUAAAGCUCCUCGAGGACUAGAGAUGUUGAAGUCCCUGAUUGGCCUGGAAUCCCAGAAAAUCCUUCGAUUUGCAAAUAUUAUGGAGAGUAUAACAGGCCGCAAUGACCAUUGGAAUAUUUUCCUCAUUGAGGUCUAACAGGCCAAAAAGACAGUGCCAGCAUCCUUUUAAUCAACCAAAGGGACAUUCAAUGAUCAUUUUGGCACCUGCUGAGCCUGUAGCUGAAAUGCUCCUUGCUGCUGUCUAGGUUCCCAGUGUAACACUUCAUGAGCCGGGGAGCUAGGGAUAUGCAGGGUCGCCUGGGAUCACUAUGGGCACUUGCAUAUCCCCCCUGGAAUCUUCUGGUCUGGGAAGAAAGUCCCAGUGUGCAGCUUUCUAUACAGUCCAGUGUUCCGAAAUAUGCAUGCGUCAUGCACCUUCCCUGACCACCCGGCAUCAAUGUUAGUGAAACAUGCCUGGUGAUCCACCAGAGCCUGCAACGUCAUGGAGAAAUAGCCCUUUUGAUUGAUGUACUCCAUCAUAAGGUGGUCGGGGGCCAAAAUAGGGAUAUGCAUUUCCUCUAGCCUGGUCGCAGUUAGGGAAUCCCAUUGCCUCAAAGUCAUCAAUUAUUUCCUGCACGUUACUGAGAGUCACAAUCCUUCGUAGCAGGAGGCGAUUAAUGGCCCUGCACAUUUGCAUCACUGCAACCCCCAUGGUGGACUUUCCAACUCCAAACUGAUUUGCGACUCACCGGUAGCAGUCAGGAGUUGCCAGGUUCCAAUCAGUGAUCGCCUGUCGCUUUUCCACAGUGAGGGAAGCUCUCAUUCUGGUGCCCUUGCACCACAGUGCUGGGGCAAGCUCUGCACACAGUUCCAGGAAGGUGGCUUUGCGUGUCCGAAAGUUCUGCAGCCACUGCUCAUCAUUCCAUACCUGAAUCAUGAUCCAAUCCCACCGCUCAGUGCUUGUUUCCCAAGCUCGGUACCAACGGUCCACCAUGGCAAGCUGUUCCGUGAACAUCAGCAGCAAUCUUGAAUUAUUUGUUUCCAUGGCAGACAGCAGGGCAGCCAUCACUGAUUCACUCCUGUUUUGCAGCUCAUGAAAUACUGCAGGACCAGCCGUGUUGUGUUCAGGAUAUUCACAAUGGUCAGCAGCUCAGGAUCCAUGCUGCGAGACUGAGAUGGCAGGUGCACAGUUUACAAGGGCUGUUGAAAAACAGUGCAAAAUGAAGUAAGAAGUAGAAAGCUCAUGGAAUGAUGGGACAGAAAGAACUGCAUCACAGGACAGCAAGCACAUCACCAUGAUGCACUGUGAUCCAUUCCCAAAGCUCCCAAUGCAGUGGCAGAGGCUGGUGAGUUGCACAAUAGGUUAGCUACCGAUGAUGCAAUGCUCUCUCUGUCAACGCAAGAGCAACGACUGUGGAUGCGGCAAUGUUAUUAAAGCGAUUUAUGAUGGUCGACAAAACUUAAGUUAAGGAUUAGAAUUCAAAAUGAUCGUGACAAAUUGUAGAAUUGGGCUGAAAUCAACAAGAUGAAAGCCAAUAAAGACAAGUGCAAAGUACUGCACUUAGGAAGUAAAAAUCAAAUGCACAACUACAAAAUGGGAAAUAACUGGCUAGAAGUAUUGCUGAAAAGGAUCUGGGGAUUAUAGGCGAUCACAAAUUGAAUAUGAAUCAACAGUGCGAUGCAGCUGCAAAACAGGCUAAUAUCAUUCUCGGGCAUAUUAUCAGGAGAGUCAAAGGGGCAAGCUCUGAGUUCCCAACCCUCAAGAGAAGAAAAUUGCAAAGGAAGUUCACCAAGCCCAGCUGUGUCCUCUGGGGUGCACAUCCUCCUGAAGGUUAAUUUACUCAUUUCACUGUUUUGAACUUGCUCUGGCACAAAGAAGGAAGCUCACAGAUGACUUCUGAAAUCAGUAGGAGUCUAAUGAAAAUAGGAAUAACACCUGUGGGGAAAAUACCUUGGUCUUGAUGCUGAUCUCAGUUACACUAGUGUAAAUGAAGAGUUAUUGAGAGGAAGUCAGAGGCCAGAUCUUAAUCGCUCUAAAUCUGCAUAGCUCCAUUGACUUUAAUGGAGCAACACUGAUUUACACUAGCUGUGACUCUGGCCCAAUGGAGUUAAACUGGUGUAAGAGACAGAAAAGUUAGAAGUCAAUCUUAUCAGAAAUAAAUCACUGUUCAAAAUUAAAUUACAGAAUCCUAUUUUCUGUUUGUUACCCAUGUCAUGAACAAGUGUUAAGACUCUGGCAGUUCUAUGAAACUUUCAGCUUAUGUCUGUAGCGUACUCUGAUUGUACUACAAAUUUCUAUUAACCAUAUUUUUUUAAAAAAAUGCAUUUGUUAAAAAAUAA